GACAGAGGUGCCGAGCGUUAGGCGGAAUCACUGGGCUUAAAGCGUGUGUAGGCGGAUCUGUAAGUACCUUGUGAAAUCCCACGGCUCAACCGUGGAACUGCUUGGUAUACUGCGGGUCUUGAGCCACCUAGGGGCAAGUGGAACAAACGGUGGAGCGGUGAAAAUGCGUAGAUAUCGUUUGGAACGCCAAUGGUGAAAAACAACUUGCUGGGGGGGUGUGCUGACGCUUCAGAACACGAAAAGCCAGGGGGAGCAAAA
rnacentral:rRNA from 1 species